GACGAACGCUGGCGGCGUGCUUAACACAUGCAAGUCGUACGGUAAGGCCCUUUCGGGGGUACACGAGUGGCGAACGGGUGCGUAACACGUGAGUAACCUGCCCACAACUUUGGGAUAACGCUAGGAAACUGGUGCUAAUACUGGAUAUGUGCUCCUGCUGCAUGGUGGGGGUUGGAAAGCUCCGGCGGUUGUGGAUGGACUCGCGGCCUAUCAGCUUGUUGGUGGGGUAGUGUCCUACCAAGGCGGCGACGGGUAGCCGGCCGGAGAGGGUGACCGGCCACAUUGGGCCUGAGAUACGGCCCAGAAUCCUACGGGAGGCAGCAGUGGGGAAUAUUGCACAAUGGGCGCAAGCCUGAUGCAGCAACGCCGCGUGCGGGAUGACGGCCUUCGGGUUGGAAACCGCUUUCAGCAGGGACGAAGCUUUUUGUGACGGUACCUGAAGAAGAAGCACCGGCUAACUACGUG
rnacentral:rRNA from 1 species